rnacentral:rRNA from 1 species
UACGUAGGGGGCAAGCGUUGUCCGGAUUUACUGGGUGUAAAGGGUGCUCAGGUGGCUUGGAAAGUCAGUGGUGAAAUCUGAGAGCUUAACUCUCAAACUGCCAUUGAUACUUCUUAGCUUGAGUACGGAAGAGGCUGAUGGAAUUUCAGGUGUAGCAGUGAAAUGCGUAGAUAUCUGAAAGAACACCAGUGGCGAAGGCGGUCAGCUGGUCCGUUACUGACGCUGAGGUGCGAAAGCGUGGGGAGCAAACAGG